AUGCAAGUCGAGGGGGCAGCAAUGUCACCGGCGAACGGGUGCGUAACGCGUAUGCAACCUGGCCAUAUCAGGGGGAUAGCCCUAGGAAACUGGGAUUAAUACCGCAUAAUACGGUGAUUGGCAUCAAUUGCUGUUGAAAGAUUUAUUGGAUAUGGAUGGGCAUGCGUAGGAUUAGUUAGUUGGUGGGGUAACGGCUCACCAAGGCGAUGAUCCUUAGGGGCUCUGAGAGGAGUAUCCCCCACACUGGCACUGAGAUACGGGCCAGACUCCUACGGGAGGCAGCAGUAGGGAAUAUUGGGCAAUGGAGGCAACUCUGACCCAGCCAUGCCGCGUGCAGGAAGACGGUCCUCUGGAUUGUAAACUGCUUUUGAAUGGGAAGAACAGUACCCUUGCGAGGGUAUUUGACGGUACUAUUAGAAUAAGCACCGGCUAACUCCGUGCCAGCAGCCGCGGUAAUACGGAGGGUGCAAGCGUUAUCCGGAUUUAUUGGGUUUAAAGGGUGCGUAGGCGGCUUUGUAAGUCUGGGGUUAAAGGCGGCAGCUUAACUGUACGCAUGCCCUGGAAACUGUGAAGCUUGAGUAAUUUGGAGGUAGCUAGAAUUCCCUGUGUAGCGGUGAAAUGCAUAGAUACGGGGAGGAAUACCGAUUGCGAAGGCAUGUUACUACGAAUUAACUGACGCUGAUGCACGAAAGCGUGGGGAUCAAACAGGAUUAGAUACCCUGGUAGUCCA
rnacentral:rRNA from 1 species